CCUACGGGGGGCUGCAGUGGGGAAUAUUGGACAAUGGGCGAAAGCCUGAUCCAGCCAUGCCGCGUGUGUGAAGAAGGCCUUCGGGUUGUAAAGCACUUUCAGUGGGGAAGAAAGCCUUGGGGCUAAUACCCUCGAGGAAGGACAUCACCCACAGAAGAAGCACCGGCUAACUCCGUGCCAGCAGCCGCGGUAAUACGGAGGGGUGCGAGCGUUAAUCGGAAUUACUGGGCGUAAAGCGCGCGUAGGCGGUCUGAUAAGCCGGUUGUGAAAGCCCCGGGCUCAACCUGGGAACGGCAUCCGGAACUGUCAGGCUAGAGUGCAGGAGAGGAAGGUAGAAUUCCCGGUGUAGCGGUGAAAUGCGUAGAGAUCGGGAGGAAUACCAGUGGCGAAGGCGGCCUUCUGGACUGACACUGACGCUGAGGUGCGAAAGCGUGGGUAGCAAACAGGAUUAAUACCCGGGUAGUC
rnacentral:rRNA from 1 species